GACGAACGCUGGCGGCGUGCUUAACACAUGCAAGUCGAACGAAGAGCGAUGGAAGCUUGCUUCUAUCAAUCUUAGUGGCGAACGGGUGAGUAACGCGUAAUCAACCUGCCCUUCUGAGGGGGACAACAGUUGGAAACGACUGCUAAUACCGCAUACGAUCUAAUCUCGGCAUCGAGGAUAGAUGAAAGGUGGCCUCUACAUGUAAGCUAUCACUGAAGGAGGGGAUUGCGUCUGAUUAGCUAGUUGGAGGGGUAACGGCCCACCAAGGCGAUGAUCAGUAGCCGGUCUGAGAGGAUGAACGGCCACAUUGGGACUGAGACACGGCCCAGACUCCUACGGGAGGCAGCAGUGGGGAAUCUUCCGCAAUGGACGAAAGUCUGACGGAGCAACGCCGCGUGAGUGAUGACGGCCUUCGGGUUGUAAAGCUCUGUUAAUCGGGACGAAAGGCCUUCUUGCGAAUAGUGAGAAGGAUUGACGGUACCGGAAUAGAAAGCCACGGCUAACUACGUG
rnacentral:rRNA from 1 species